rnacentral:rRNA from 1 species
UACGGAGGGGGCUAGCGUUGUUCGGAAUUACUGGGCGUAAAGCGCACGUAGGCGGCUUUGUAAGUUAGAGGUGAAAGCCCGGGGCUCAACUCCGGAAUUGCCUUUAAGACUGCAUCGCUAGAAUUGUGGAGAGGUAAGUGGAAUUCCGAGUGUAGAGGUGAAAUUCGUAGAUAUUCGGAAGAACACCAGUGGCGAAGGCGACUCACUGGACACAUAUUGACGCUGAGGUGCGAAAGCGUGGGGAGCAAACAGG